GUGCUGGCUUCAGCAGCACAUUUACUAAAACUGAAAUGACAAAGAAAAGAUUAGCAUGGCCCCUGCGCAAGGAUGACACUCAAGUUCAUGAAGUGUCCUAUAUUUUU
rnacentral:snRNA from 1 species